CACGUGCUACAAUGGCGGUGACAAUGGGACGCGGAGGGGUGACCCCGAGCAAAUCUCAAAAAAACCGUCUCAGUUCGGAUUGCACUCUGCAACUCGAGUGCAUGAAGUUGGAGUUGCUAGUAAUCGCAGAUCAGAAUGCUGCGGUGAAUGCGUUCCCGGGUCUUGUACACACCGCCCGUCACACCAUGGAAGUUGGCAAUACCCGAA
rnacentral:rRNA from 1 species